rnacentral:rRNA from 1 species
CAACGAGUUGCGAACUCGCGAGAGUAAGCUAAUCUCUUAAAGCCGUUCUCAGUUCGGACUGUAGGCUGCAACUCGCCUACACGAAGUCGGAAUCGCUAGUAAUCGCGGAUCAGCAUGCCGCGGUGAAUACGUUCCCGGGCCUUGUACACACCGCCCGUCACACCAUGGAAGUUUGCAAUGCCCAAAGUCGGUGGCCUAACCAUUUGGAGGGAACCGCCUAAGGCAGGACAGAUGACUGGGGUGAAGUCGUAACAAGGUAAC